GGCCUGGCCUGCGGCAGUGGGGUGAACCCAGCCGCCCGAGCGAGCUCCCCGACCCGGCUGGCAAACCCCUGCAGCUGCUCCCGCCGCAGGUCCACCAGAUGGAUUCCUGGAAAAUCCUGGGAAGGGCAGCCCGGCAAGCAGCCCAGCAAGCAGACCCAUUUUACAGAGUAGGCUGCUGAGACUCAAGAGAGGCAAAGAGUGGGUGGCCCGUGGCCAUACAGGGCAUCCAGACACCGAGGAAGAGCCAGGAGGCUGUCAUCAUCUGCUUCGAUGCCAAAGGCCACGAAUGGCCCCGUGGCGAUGUCCCCCCAAUACCCGCGCGCUGCGACACGCUCUCCGUGCUGGGGAAGCAGGGAGAGAAGAGGCAAGUGAGGUCAAUGUUGGAGACCCCAGUUCCUGUGUCCCCGAAAAG